GGAGCAUGGAGCUCUAACUGCCUGAGCCACCGGGCUGGCCCUCUAGUUUUUUUUUUUUUCUUUCUGUUUCCUUUGUUUGCUUCUCCUUUGCCUUGUUCUCUUGGCGCUUUUGUUUUCUCUACUGUUGCAGCUCCUAAGGCAGCCCCUCAAGCUGCCGUUUCUUGAGGCUUCACUUAGGGGUUUGGUCGAAUCAAAAGAAACCUUAAUGUUGCAGGCCACAGCCUCGCCGUCAUAUGUGAGCUUUGUCCUGCGCAGGUGCUCUUGGCUGGCGUGAAGCCCAUGUACUCCAGAUGCCGGACCUACACCUCGAAGACCAAGUGCUCCUGGAAACUGAAGUGGAGCUGGAAGCUCUUCCGACCAUCUGGUAAAGGACUGUGAAAUGGCUAUGUGGCAGUGGCACUGGGAGAUGGAGUGUUGGAGGCACGUGACAAGAUUGCCUCUCCCUACUCUGUGAUCUUGGGCAUGUACGUGUGACUUGCUUUGACCCAAAAUAAAUGAGUGGGAGUUACAAGUGUCGCAUCCUGGGGACGCCUUUAAGAGCCGGUGUACUUUUCUUCUGCCACAACAAGGAGAUGGCUGCUCCAUCACCCUGGAUCCUGGAUUGAGGACCAUGUAGAGCACUCAGCUGACUCGUGAUGGAGAUGUAGCAUGAAUGAGCGAGAAAUAAACCUUUGUUGUUUUAAGUUCUUGAGA